rnacentral:misc_RNA from 1 species
AAGUCGUAACAAGGUUUCCGUAGGUGAACCUGCGGAAGGAUCAUUACCGAAUCGUCAACAAGGGUUGUUGCUGGCCCCUGUAUGGGGGCAUGUGCACGCUCUGUUUACACAUCCACUCACACCUGUGCACCCUCUGUAGUUCUAUGGCCUGGGGGGCCCUGUCCUCCUGCUGUGGUUCUAUGUCUUUACACACACACCGAAAUAAAGUCUAAUGGAAUGUAUGUCGCGUUUAACGCAAUGAAAUACAACUUUCAGCAACGGAUCUCUUGGCUCUC